GCACCCCUGGGUCUGAGCAGUUACCAGCCAGUCCCUGAGAACUUUCCUCUCCAGCACCAGGGAAAAUGGGAUUUUUCCUCCUUGUAAUUUUCGUUGUAGCCGCUUUGGAAGGUGUCCGGUCCCAGGCGCUGGUGGAGUCCGGAGGGGAUGUGAAAAAGCCCGGAGACUCUCUCCGCCUCUCCUGCAAAGCCUCCGGCUUCACCUUCAGCAGCUACUACAUGAACUGGGUCCGCCAGGCUCCUGGCAAAGGACUAGAAUGGGUCGCUAUUAUAUACCCCGGUGGGAGUAGUACAUACUACCUUGAUUCAGUGAAAGGCCGAUUCACCAUCUCCAGGGAUAAUCCCAAGAGUGAGCUGUAUCUGCAAAUGACCGGCCUGAAGCCCGAGGACACCGCCCGCUAUUACUGUGCGGGAGACACAGUGACACAAAACCGCUUUGUGAUCAGACAAAAACCCAGGCUGCGGAAUCGCCCUUCUCCCGGCAGCCGCGCGGGGGCAGCAACCUUGCGCGUUGACGCCCCCGGGCCCAUCUCGGUGUCAGACUCACAGGACAGCGUCUGUCAGUAUAAAGGGGACAAGCGCAUUGGGGUUCGCAUCAGACCCAACGGAUGGAGCGAAUUGCUCAUGGGGCCAAAUCCUCCGCUGGUGUAA